AGUACCGUGAGGGAAAGGUGAAAAGCACCCCGAUGAGGGGAGUGAAACAGUACCUGAAACGGAUUGCCUACAAGCAGUUGGAGCCCCCUUGAGGGGUGACAGCGUACCUCUUGCAUAAUGGGUCAGUGACUUAAUGUAUCAAGCAAGCUUAAGCCGUUAGGUGUAGGCGCAGCGAAAAGCGAAGUCUGAAUAGGGCGAUUUAGUUUGAUGUAUUAGACCCGAAAACCCGGCGAAUCUAGACAUGACCGGGAUGAAGGUGCGGUAACACGCACUGGGAGGUCCGACCCGAUUUAACGUUGAAAAGUUACCGGGAUGAGUUGUGUUUAGGGGUGAAAGGCCAAUCAAACUGGGAAAUAGCUGGUUCUCAGCGAAAGAUAUUUAGGUAUCGCCUCGGAUGAAUGCCUCAGGGGGUAGAGCACUGGAUGGGCUAGGGGGACUUACCGUCUUACCAAACCCAACCAAACUCCGAAUACCUGAGGGCAAUAUCCGGGAGUCACACGGCGGGUGCUAACGUCCGUCGUGGAGAGGGAAACAACCCGGACCUACAGCUAAGGCCCCUAAUUCGUGGCUAAGUGGGAAAGGAUGUGGAAGGCUAAAACAGUCAGGAGGUUGGCUUAGAAGCAGCCAU
rnacentral:rRNA from 1 species